CGUGAAAAACUUACAAUACAUGUGAAUUUGUCGAGACGGUAAGACGUGUCGGAAAGAUCUAAACUCGUAUUAAAUUUCCUUUCUUGGAUUUAAAUUUGUGAAGAACAUUGGGAUUAUUAAACGGUACAAUGAAAAUAUUCCUUCAUGUUUUCUUAACAAUUAUGCUGAUAAUGUCGGGCCUAAUAUCGCUUGGAAUGUCAAAAAGAGUCCGUCGAGGAGUGUCUGUCAUCGAAGUAGAACCACCUCAUAUAAGACACUUCCCGAAAGAAGCGACUUGUCCACCAGGAGAACUUAUAGAUCCACACGGAAUAUGUCGGAAAUUACGACGUGAUAAAUAAUAAAAUUGAAAAUAAGCAGGCCUGAAUAUUUGACACGUUCCACCACAAAAGAAAUAUCUGAUAAUACAGAAAAUGAAAGAAAGUAAUUCAAGAAACACAAAAUAGCAUAUGGCAACUUACAAAUAUAAAUAAACAUUAAUUAUCACUAAUGAAGUCAAUGAAGUUCUGAUGUUUUAUAUAUCUUCUGGAAUAAUCUAUAAUCUAUAAUAAUUUACUGAUGUUUGUAAUAACGAUAACUAGUAUAAGUGUUAUGUAUGUAAUAUAAUAUAGUAUGUUAAAACUGCAUGAAAAAUUACUCGAUUAAAGAGUCUUAACAAAAUUAA
rnacentral:lncRNA from 1 species